rnacentral:rRNA from 1 species
CCUACGGGCGGCUGCAGUGGGGAAUAUUGCACAAUGGGCGCAAGCCUGAUGCAGCCAUGCCGCGUGUGUGAAGAAGGCCUUCGGGUUGUAAAGCACUUUCAGCGGGGAGGAAGGCGGUGAGGUUAAUAACCUCAUCGAUUGACGUUACCCGCAGAAGAAGCACCGGCUAACUCCGUGCCAGCAGCCGCGGUAAUACGGAGGGUGCAAGCGUUAAUCGGAAUUACUGGGCGUAAAGCGCACGCAGGCGGUCUGUCAAGUCGGAUGUGAAAUCCCCGGGCUCAACCUGGGAACUGCAUUCGAAACUGGCAGGCUAGAGUCUUGUAGAGGGGGGUAGAAUUCCAGGUGUAGCGGUGAAAUGCGUAGAGAUCUGGAGGAAUACCGGUGGCGAAGGCGGCCCCCUGGACAAAGACUGACGCUCAGGUGCGAAAGCGAGGGGAGCAAACAGGAUUAGAUACCCGGGUAGUC